rnacentral:rRNA from 1 species
AAUCGAACUCGGAGAUAGCUGGUUCUCCCCGAAAUAGCUUUAGGGCUAGCGUCGAGGUAAAGUCGUGUGAAGGUAGAGCACUGAAUAUGUGAUGGCCCCAUCCCGGGGUACUGAAUAUAAUCAAACUCCGAAUGUCACAAAGAUAUACUCGGCAGUCAGACAGUGGGUGAUAAGGUCCAUUGUCAAAAGGGAAACAGCCCAGACCAUCAGCUAAGGUCCCAAAAUAUAUACUAAGUGGAAAAGGAUGUGGAGAUGUCCAGACAACUAGGAGGUUGGCUCAGAAGCAGCCAUCCUUUAAAGAGUGCGUAACAGCUCACUAGUCGAAUGACUCUGCGCCGAUAAUUUACCGGGGCUAAGUAUAUUACCGAAGCUAUGGAUUUACGCAGAAGCGUGAGUGGUAGGGGAGCGUUCUAUGUACAGAGAAGCGGUACCGGAAGGAGCCGUGGAGAGCAUAGAAGAGAGAAUGCCGGUGUGAGUAGCGGAACGCGGGUGAGAAUCCCGCGCACCGAAAACCCAAGGUUUCCAGAGGAAGGUUCGUCCGCUCUGGGUAAGUCGGGACCUAAGGCGAGGCCGAGAGGCGUAGUCGAUGGACAACAGGUAGAGAUUCCUGUACUUACGGUAUGAAUGAAGGAGUGACGGAGAAGGCUAGCGGAUCCUGCUGCUGGAAUAGCAGGUGCAAGCGAGGUAGCUGACAGCCAGGCAAAUCCGGCUGUCGAAAGGCGAAGACGUGAAGCGGAUGGAAAGCUGAGGCAAGUACAGAAGUCCGUGAAGCAGGCUUCCAAGAAAAGCUUCUAGUGUUAAUCAUACAGUAACCCGUACCGAAAAUGGACACACAUGGGUGAGGAGAGAAUCCUAAGGUGAGCGAGAGAACUAUAGCUAAGGAACUCUGCAAAAUGACUCCGUAACUUAGGGAUAAGGAGUGCUCAUAGAGAUAUGAGCCGCAGUGAAACGGCCCAAGCGACUGUUUACCAAAAACACAGCUCUAUGCUAAGUCGAAAGACGACGUAUAUGGGGUGACGCCUGCCCGGUGCUGGAAGGUUAAGAGGAUGUGUCAGCGAAAGCGAAGCAUUGAAUUGAAGCCCCAGUAAACGGCGGCCGUAACUAUAACGGUCCUAAGGUAGCGAAAUUCCUUGUCAGGUAAGUUCUGACCCGCACGAAAGGCGUAACGAUUUGGGCGCUGUCUCAGCUGUAGACUCGGUGAAGUCUUAGUACCUGUGAAGAUGCAGGUUACCCGCGACUAGACGGAAAGACCCCAUGGAGCUUUACUGCAGCUUGAUAUUGGACUUUGAUGCAAGAUGUACAGGAUAGGUAGGAGACUGAGAGACAUGCACGCCAGUGUGUGAGGAGUCGAUGUUGGGAUACUACUCUUCUUGUAUUGGAGUUCUAACCGGAUGCCAUGGAACUGGCAACGGGACAGUGUCAGGCGGGCAGUUUGACUGGGGCGGUCGCCUCCCAAAGAGUAACGGAGGCGCCCAAAGAUACCCUCAGCUUGGAUGGAAAUCAAGCGCAGAGUGCAAAGGCAUAAGGGUGUUUGACUGCGAGACCAACAAGUCGAGCAGGGACGAAAGUCGGGCUUAGUGAUCCGGCGGUGCUGAAUGGAAAGGCCGUCGCUCAACGGAUAAAAGCUACCCUGGGGAUAACAGGCUGAUCUCCCCCAAGAGUUCACAUCGACGGGGAGGUUUGGCACCUCGAUGUCGGCUCAUCGCAUCCUGGGGCUGUAGUCGGUCCCAAGGGUUGGGCUGUUCGCCCAUUAAAGCGGUACGCGAGCUGGGUUCAGAACGUCGUGAGACAGUUCGGUCCCUAUCUGUCGUGGGCGCAGGAAGUUUGAGAAGAUCUGUCCUCAGUACGAGAGGACCGGGAUGGACAUAUCAAUGGUGCACCAGUUGUCACGCCAGUGGCACAGCUGGGUAGCUAAAUAUGGAAGGGAUAAACGCUGAAGGCAUCUAAGUGUGAAACCCGCUUCAAGAUGAGACUUCCCAUUACGAAAGUAGGUAAGACCCCUUAAAGACGAUAAGGUUGA